rnacentral:rRNA from 3 species
UUAAGCGACUAAGCGUACACGGUGGAUGCCCUGGCAGUCAGAGGCGAUGAAGGACGUGCUAAUCUGCGAUAAGCGUCGGUGAGGUGAUAUGAACCGUUAUAACCGGCGAUUUCCGAAUGGGGAAACCCAGUGUGUUUCGACACACUAUCAUUAACUGAAUCCAUAGGUUAAUGAGGCGAACCGGGGGAACUGAAACAUCUAAGUACCCCGAGGAAAAGAAAUCAACCGAGAUUCCCCCAGUAGCGGCGAGCGAACGGGGAGGAGCCCAGAGCCUGAAUCAGUGUGUGUGUUAGUGGAAGCGUCUGGAAAGGCGCGCGAUACAGGGUGACAGCCCCGUACACAAAAAUGCACAUACUGUGAGCUCGAUGAGUAGGGCGGGACACGUGGUAUCCUGUCUGAAUAUGGGGGGACCAUCCUCCAAGGCUAAAUACUCCUGACUGACCGAUAGUGAACCAGUACCGUGAGGGAAAGGCGAAAAGAACCCCGGCGAGGGGAGUGAAAAAGAACCUGAAACCGUGUACGUACAAGCAGUGGGAGCCUCUUAAUGGGGUGACUGCGUACCUUUUGUAUAAUGGGUCAGCGACUUAUAUUCUGUAGCAAGGUUAACCGAAUAGGGGAGCCGAAGGGAAACCGAGUCUUAACUGGGCGUUAAGUUGCAGGGUAUAGACCCGAAACCCGGUGAUCUAGCUAUGGGCAGGUUGAAGGUUGGGUAACACUAACUGGAGGACCGAACCGACUAAUGUUGAAAAAUUAGCGGAUGACUUGUGGCUGGGGGUGAAAGGCCAAUCAAACCGGGAGAUAGCUGGUUCUCCCCGAAAGCUAUUUAGGUAGCGCCUCGUGAAUUCAUCUCCGGGGGUAGAGCACUGUUUCGGCAAGGGGGUCAUCCCGACUUACCAACCCGAUGCAAACUGCGAAUACCGGAGAAUGUUAUCACGGGAGACACACGGCGGGUGCUAACGUCCGUCGUGAAGAGGGAAACAACCCAGACCGCCAGCUAAGGUCCCAAAGUCAUGGUUAAGUGGGAAACGAUGUGGGAAGGCCCAGACAGCCAGGAUGUUGGCUUAGAAGCAGCCAUCAUUUAAAGAAAGCGUAAUAGCUCACUGGUCGAGUCGGCCUGCGCGGAAGAUGUAACGGGGCUAAACCAUGCACCGAAGCUGCGGCAGCGACGCUUAUGCGUUGUUGGGUAGGGGAGCGUUCUGUAAGCCUGUGAAGGUGGCCUGUGAGGGUUGCUGGAGGUAUCAGAAGUGCGAAUGCUGACAUAAGUAACGAUAAAGCGGGUGAAAAGCCCGCUCGCCGGAAGACCAAGGGUUCCUGUCCAACGUUAAUCGGGGCAGGGUGAGUCGACCCCUAAGGCGAGGCCGAAAGGCGUAGUCGAUGGGAAACAGGUUAAUAUUCCUGUACUUGGUGUUACUGCGAAGGGGGGACGGAGAAGGCUAUGUUGGCCGGGCGACGGUUGUCCCGGUUUAAGCGUGUAGGCUGGUUUUCCAGGCAAAUCCGGAAAAUCAAGGCUGAGGCGUGAUGACGAGGCACUACGGUGCUGAAGCGACAAAUGCCCUGCUUCCAGGAAAAGCCUCUAAGCAUCAGGUAACAUUAAAUCGUACCCCAAACCGACACAGGUGGUCAGGUAGAGAAUACCAAGGCGCUUGAGAGAACUCGGGUGAAGGAACUAGGCAAAAUGGUGCCGUAACUUCGGGAGAAGGCACGCUGAUAUGUAGGUGAAGCGACUUGCUCGUGGAGCUGAAAUCAGUCGAAGAUACCAGCUGGCUGCAACUGUUUAUUAAAAACACAGCACUGUGCAAACACGAAAGUGGACGUAUACGGUGUGACGCCUGCCCGGUGCCGGAAGGUUAAUUGAUGGGGUUAGCGGUAACGCGAAGCUCUUGAUCGAAGCCCCGGUAAACGGCGGCCGUAACUAUAACGGUCCUAAGGUAGCGAAAUUCCUUGUCGGGUAAGUUCCGACCUGCACGAAUGGCGUAAUGAUGGCCAGGCUGUCUCCACCCGAGACUCAGUGAAAUUGAACUCGCUGUGAAGAUGCAGUGUACCCGCGGCAAGACGGAAAGACCCCGUGAACCUUUACUAUAGCUUGACACUGAACAUUGAGCCUUGAUGUGUAGGAUAGGUGGGAGGCUUUGAAGUGUGGACGCCAGUCUGCAUGGAGCCGACCUUGAAAUACCACCCUUUAAUGUUUGAUGUUCUAACGUGGGCCCCUUACCGGGGUUGCGGACAGUGUCUGGUGGGUAGUUUGACUGGGGCGGUCUCCUCCUAAAGAGUAACGGAGGAGCACGAAGGUUGGCUAAUCCUGGUCGGACAUCAGGAGGUUAGUGCAAUGGCAUAAGCCAGCUUGACUGCGAGCGUGACGGCGCGAGCAGGUGCGAAAGCAGGUCAUAGUGAUCCGGUGGUUCUGAAUGGAAGGGCCAUCGCUCAACGGAUAAAAGGUACUCCGGGGAUAACAGGCUGAUACCGCCCAAGAGUUCAUAUCGACGGCGGUGUUUGGCACCUCGAUGUCGGCUCAUCACAUCCUGGGGCUGAAGUAGGUCCCAAGGGUAUGGCUGUUCGCCAUUUAAAGUGGUACGCGAGCUGGGUUUAGAACGUCGUGAGACAGUUCGGUCCCUAUCUGCCGUGGGCGCUGGAGAACUGAGGGGGGCUGCUCCUAGUACGAGAGGACCGGAGUGGACGCAUCACUGGUGUUCGGGUUGUCAUGCCAAUGGCACUGCCCGGUAGCUAAAUGCGGAAGAGAUAAGUGCUGAAAGCAUCUAAGCACGAAACUUGCCCCGAGAUGAGUUCUCCCUGACUCCUUGAGAGUCCUGAAGGAACGUUGAAGACGACGACGUUGAUAGGCCGGGUGUGUAAGCGCAGCGAUGCGUUGAGCUAACCGGUACUAAUGAACCGUGAGGCUUAACCUU